rnacentral:rRNA from 1 species
UUGGAGGGCAAGUCUGGUGCCAGCAGCCGCGGUAAUUCCAGCUCCAAUAGCGUAUAUUAAAGUUGUUGCAGUUAGAAAGCUCGUAGUUGAAUUUCGAGAUCAAUUUGUCGGUCGUGCCUCGGUACGUACUGGCAUUAUUGAUUUCUCCCUUCUGAAGAACCGCGAUGUCAUUAAUUUGGUGUCGUGGGGAAUCAGGACUGUUACUUUGAAAAAAUUAGAGUGUUUAAAGCAGGCGCACGCUUGAAUACAUUAGCAUGGAAUAAUGAAAUAGGACGUUUGAUUCUAUUUUGUUGGUUUCUAGGAUCGACGUAAUGAUUAAUAGGGAUAGUUGGGGGCAUUAGUAUUCAAUUGUCAGAGGUGAAAUUCUUGGAUUUAUUGAAGACUAACUACUGCGAAAGCAUUUGCCAAGGAUGUUUUCAUUAAUCAAGAACGAAAGUUAGGGGAUCGAAGACGAUCAGAUACCGUCGUAGUCUUAACCAUAAACUAUGCCGACUAGGGAUCGGAUGAUGUUAAUUUUUUAAUGUCUCAUUCGGCGCCUUACGGGAAACCAAAGUGUUUGGGUUC